rnacentral:rRNA from 1 species
GACGAACGCUGGCGGCGUGCUUAACACAUGCAAGUCGAACGGGAUUUCGUAAACAGCCACCUCGGUGGAAGAUUACUAAUGAGAGUGGCGAACGGGUGAGUAACGCGUGAGCAACCUGCCUAUGACAGUGGGAUAGCCUCGGGAAACCGGGAUUAAUACCGCAUAAAAUCGUAGAAACACAUGUUUUAACGGUCAAAGAUUUAUCGGUCAUAGAUGGGCUCGCGUCUGAUUAGCUAGUUGGUGAGAUAACAGCCCACCAAGGCGACGAUCAGUAGCCGGUAUGAGAGGAUGAACGGCCACAUUGGAAAGGAGACAAGGGCCAAACUCCGACGGGGGGCAGCAGGGGGGAAAAUUGCAAAAUGGGGGAAAACCGGAUGCAGCGAAGCCGGGGGAACGAAGAAGGUAUUCGUAUCGGAAAGUUCUGUCCAAGGGGAAGAUAAUGACAGUACCAAAGAAGAAAGCCCAGGAUAAAUACGU